CAGUCGCCGCGGGAAUACAGAGGGUGCGAGCGUUAAUCGGAUUUACUGGGCGUAAAGCGCGCGUAGGCGGUUACUCAAGUCAGAGGUGAAAGCCCGGGGCUCAACCCCGGAACUGCCUUUGAAACUAGGUGACUAGAAUCUUGGAGAGGUCAGUGGAAUUCCGAGUGUAGAGGUGAAAUUCGUAGAUAUUCGGAAGAACACCAGUGGCGAAGGCGACUGACUGGACAAGUAUUGACGCUGAGGUGCGAAAGCGUGGGGAGCAAACAGGAUUAGAGACCCCAGUAGUCCCUGUCUCUUAUAC
rnacentral:rRNA from 1 species